rnacentral:rRNA from 1 species
UACGUAGGUGGCGAGCGUUGUCCGGAUUUACUGGGCGUAAAGGGAGCGUAGGCGGACUUUUUAAGUGAGAUGUGAAAUACCCGGGCUCAACUUGGGUGCUGCAUUUCAAACUGGAAGUCUAGAGUGCAGGAGAGGAGAAUGGAAUUCCUAGUGUAGCGGUGAAAUGCGUAGAGAUGUGGAGGAACACCAGUGGCGAAGGCGGCCUUCUGGACAGUGACUGACGCUGAGACGCGAAAGCGUGGGGAGCAAACAGGG